rnacentral:rRNA from 1 species
UACGUAGGGGGCAAGCGUUGUUCGGAUUCAUUGGGCGUAAAGGGUGCGUAGGCGGCGCGGUAAGUCGGGUGUGAAAUCUCGGAGCUUAACUCCGAAACUGCAUUCGAUACUGCCGUGCUUGAGGACUGGAGAGGAGACUGGAAUUUACGGUGUAGCGGUGAAAAUGCGUAGAUAUCGAUAAGGAAGACCAGUGGCGAAGGCAGGUCUCUGGGCCACUACUGACGUGAGAAGCGAAAGCGUGGGGAGCGAACAGG